UCCAUUUCUUUUUCUAAGAUAUAAUUUUGCUCUUGGUUCUAAUUGGAGAUCUCAGGGUUCUGGAGGAAAGAAAUACGCAGAAUAUAUCCCACCAGCCUGAAGUCUGCCCAGAUUUGAUCAACACUGCUGCACUUCUUGAAUGCCAGCCUUCUAGUUAACUAAACCUUCUUAUCUCAUAAUGAAAAUGAACCAGACCUUGAGCUGACUGUUCAGACAAUUUAUGGACACCAAGAUGCAACUAGCAUGUCUACUUCUUUGUGAGUCAACUGUAUUCAGAGAGAUCCAAGAAUCAAAUAUAACUUGCCCUUCCUGGCUAAUAUAUAAGCAAUAAAUGUGGGGGCAAAGUGCAUAGAAAAUGUAGAAGACAAAAUUGAAGAAAUUGAAUAAAAUAUUAAUAUUACUUUAAA